AGGGUGUUGAGGUGGCUCGGUCGCUGCUGGAAGAAUUCUUCCAAUCACCUAUGGGUUAACUCCAGCGACGGAAAACCCCCUUCCCUCCAUACAGGCAGCAUCUGCACUACAGCCUUGUAGGGGCACAACUGCGCCACUGUAGAGUAGAGGUGCCCAGGGCUAAGUGUCUAGUAAUAAGGAAGGAGAGGGAAGAAGUACAGGAUUUGGGGCAGGCAUCAGCACUCUGUAAUCCCUUUAUUGGUGCGUGUGUCAUACGCUCUUGUUUUGCACCUGUGAACAAGCUGUUCAGUGGUGAAGAAGUUAAAUUUCAUUUAUUGGAUUACACUGUCCAUGAAAGAUGUCAAGAAAGGGUACCAUGUGCAACCACUUGUAUAAUGGAAAAACACCUUCUACUGUACACCACAAAGUAUUCAGUGUGUGUCCAGUACAAAGGCCAAGAGAAAACCUGUUAAGAGCUUUAUCACAAAGUUUACCUUUUACAGAAGGAAAUCAGCACAUGGUGUAAAAUUUACUACCUCACAUAACACAACAAGUCAAACUGCUAAUUAGAACCGUGGCAUAUCCAAAAUAUAGCUUUCAGUCAAACAAUCAUUUGACUGAAUUGUUUCAUCAUUUUGUAAUUAUUAUUUGUGUUGUGAUAGCACCCAAAAUGUGCUAGGUAUUUUUACAGAGAUAGGCUCUUCCUUGAAGAGCUGAAGAAGCCAGACACUGAUAAAAGAAGUCCAGGAAAGGUGAACUUACGAAAUCAAAAUCUCUCAUCCAUCCAAAGGAGCAGUAAAUGAGGCCCUUUUCUAGAAGGGGCAAUGUCCAAAAUAACACGUUACCUUAUCAAUGAUGGUGUGUAAUGAAGGUGUGUAGGAAGUCCCGGCAGACUCUAAGGUUACACAGUAUAUGAACAGCAAUAAAGAUAAGUGUUUCAAACUUG